rnacentral:tRNA from 1 species
UGCCGUUGUAGCUCAGUAGGUAGAGCACUCGGCUGUUAACCGAGCGGUCAUCGGUUCAAAUCCGAUCAACGGCGU